rnacentral:rRNA from 1 species
UACGUAGGAGGCAAGCGUUGUCCGGAGUACUGGGCGUAAAGCGCACGCAGGCGGUCUUGUCAGUCUGUAGGGACAGGGCACAGCUCAACUGUGUCAGGCUUACGGAAACUGCAAGACUUGAGGGCUUCAGAGGGAUGGGGAAUUCCGGGUGGAGUGGUGAAAUGCGUAGAGAUCCGGAAGAACACCAAAGGCGAAGGCACCAUCCUGGGGAGUCACUGACGCUCGGGUGCGAAAGCUAAGGGGAG